rnacentral:lncRNA from 1 species
GCCGACUGCCCUCCAGGUGAUUUUUAUGCCCACUAAAGUCUGAGCAGCAUUGGCCUAGGACACAGCUGUUUAAAAAAUUCUCCUGCUGAGAUAGACAAGAAAAAUAAAUUUGGAUGAUUUCUGGACUUUAGAUUCCUUAACCUUUAACUCACAUUGGUGCAGUGGCUCAUGCCUGUAAUCCCAGCAUUUGGGAAGGCUGAGGUAGACGGGACCUGAGCCCAGGAGUUGGAGACCAGCCUGGGCAACAUCACGACAUCCCAUCUCUACAAAAGAUUAAAAUUAGCCAGGCGUGGUGGUAUGUGCCUGCAACUCCAGCUACUCAGGAAGCUGAGGUGUUUGGGAGGAUCACUUGAGCCUGGGAAGGCGAGGCUGCAGUGAUCCGCGAUCGCACCACGGGACUCCAACCUGGGUGACACAGCAAGACUGUCUCAGAAAGAAGGAAGGGGUGGAUUUCUAUUCCAAUUUGGAGCUGUUCUAACUUGUAGCAUUUUAUAUAGGAAUGUCUUCAUAUUGUCAUUUAGUCUCAUCACAAACCUCUGAUAGACCAUACGGUUGCAUAUAAUUAAGAUAGGAAAUAAAAUAAUAGGGGGCGAUUUUCAGUCUUGGGGAUAGUCAUGGAAAUAAUUUAAUGAAUGUUCUGUUCUGACCCAUUUUAGAACCUUAGCAUUCAUCUCCUUCCUUAAGGGUAUGACCAUAAUAGCUACAUGCUUAACUGAGUUAAAAACGUAGUAGGUUAAAGGAAUUGAGCCUUAGGCUUAAUGAGUUAAUGGGGUGCGGGGAGAAUGCUGCUUCCUCACUCCUGAAAUUUCCUUCCAUGUAAGGGGCCUCUAUUUGGUGCAAAGCACCAGAACUCUUUCCCCGCUUUACUUGCCCUUUCAAUGAUAAGGAGAGAUCUUGCUGGUGAUUUGGGAGAUGAAUUGGGCAAGUAUAACUCAGUCCGUGUCUCUCUCUAUCUUGAGAGCCAGUGAAGCCAACAGGGAGUGUGAUACUGAUCUCUCUGCUACAAGAGGCCUGCCUCCAUGUGAGUAGACCUACAGUUUUCCAGAACUGCCUGCUGCUGAAUGGGUUAAGUCUAAUUCCAGUGCUCAAUAUUACGAAGCCCGCUUUCGUGAAGAUAUAAGCCAUGUCUUCCAACAUUGGCUUUGUCAAUCCAUGUGAUUAGAUAUGGGCAGGUGCCGGGUGGGCAAGUGGUGCUAUUCAUUAGUCUUCCUCAAACCCCAGCACCCCUCUGAAGAAAGCAAUCUUUUCUUAUUUAUCCCUGUAUCACCACAACAUGAUAUGUUUGCGAUAAAUGUUUAUUGCAUGGAUGUAAUUGAGAUAAAUUUACUUUUCUGUCCUUGGCCAAGGGGGAUGAACUAGUUGAUCCCUAACAUGUCUCUCUGUGUAAAUAUCCUCUGACACCCUUAAGCUGUCUCAGGUAUAAAUUAUGAAUACUUUCUAAAAGAUUUUUCAAGAACUCUUCCUUGGGAUUCAACAUUUUCACUUUGGGAAUUUAGUGAUAUGCCACACAUUGUUACCAGAUAGCUACAGAGGAAUAAAGUCCCAGGAGGAGUCCACUGUG